UUAGCUCAGUUGGUAGAGCGGAAGACUGUAGUUUGCUGUAAUCUUUAGGUCACUUGUUCGAAUCAGGUAGGCCGGA
rnacentral:tRNA from 1 species